ACUUUAAUCUCAGAAUUCUGACUUUUUUCUCAGAAUUCUGACUUUAAUCUCAGAAUUUUGAGGUGGGCACCUGCAGGCAUCCAUCUUCAGUGACAGGGAUGUGUCCAGGUGUGCAGGUGGAGACCUAAUUCACUAAACAUGGUGGAUAUAAGUGAUUUUUUGCGUGGCCGAGGGGUCCCCGAAGAUGCUGUUUUAUUAAUGGAAGAGCAGAAGAUUGACUGUGACGUCAUAGCACUGAUGGAUGACGCAACUUUGGCAAACUACAUUCCCUCGUACGGAGACCGAAUUGCCCUCUUCAAUUUCUGCAAAAGCAAGCAACCACUGUCAAAAAGAAAACUAGGACUUCUGCAAAAACUUCGUGAGAAAAUGAAAACCAGAAAAGAAAGUCCAAAGGAGAACACCUCACAUACAGAUGCAGGAAUAAGACAGACAAAGAAGCAAAAAGCAACACGAAAUGUUGAGAUAGGAUGGAUACAUAGUGAUGGAAAAGUAGCCAAACAGGUGAGAGCGAAGCAGGGAGGUGGCACUAGAAAAAUUCAAAUGGCCACUGAUGCUGGAUUAAAAGAUAUUCUUCAAGAAGGAAAGAAACUUUUUUUU